rnacentral:rRNA from 1 species
UACGUAGGGUGCAAGCGUUGUCCGGAAUUAUUGGGCGUAAAGAGCUCGUAGGCGGUUUGUCGCGUCGUGCUGUGAAAUCCCGAGGCUCAACCUCGGGCUUGCAGUGGGUACGGGCAGACUAGAGUGCGGUAGGGGAGAUUGGAAUUCCUGGUGUAGCGGUGGAAUGCGCAGAUGAUUGGGAGGAACACCAGCGGGCGAAGGCGGCAGCUCUGGGCUGGUAUUG